rnacentral:rRNA from 1 species
GACGAACGCUGGCGGCGUGCUUAGCACAUGCAAGUCGAACGGAAAGGCCCUGCUUUUGUGGGGUGCUCGAGUGGCGAACGGGUGAGUAACACGUGAGUAACCUGCCCUUGACUUUGGGAUAACUUCAGGAAACUGGGGCUAAUACCGGAUAGGAGCUCCUGCUGCAUGGUGGGGGUUGGAAAGUUUCGGCGGUUGGGGAUGGACUCGCGGCUUAUCAGCUUGUUGGUGGGGUAGUGGCUUACCAAGGCUUUGACGGGUAGCCGGCCUGAGAGGGUGACCGGCCACAUUGGGACUGAGAUGCGGCCCAGACUCCUACGGGAGGCAGCAGUGGGGAAUAUUGCACAAUGGGCGGAAGCCUGAUGCAGCAACGCCGCGUGCGGGAUGACGGCCUUCGGGUUGUAAACCGCUUUCGCCUGUGACGAAGCGUGAGUGACGGUAAUGGGUGAAGAAGCACCGGCUAACUACGUGCCAGCAGCCGCCGUAA